UAGGGAAUCUUCCACAAUGGACGCAAGUCUGAUGGAGCAACGCCGCGUGAGUGAAGAAGGGUUUCGGGCUCGUAAAGCUCUGUUGUUAAGGAAGAACGUGGGUAAGAGUAACUGUUUACCCAGUGACGGUAUUUAACCAGAAAGCCACGGCUAACUACGUGCCAG
rnacentral:rRNA from 1 species